AUAUCGGUUCCUCGCGCCGUGAAGUCGCAAACCCCGUCAGACCCGGAAGGGAGCAGCGGUAGUGAUGGAUGCGGGCGCCGAGGGUCAGCUGGUACGGA
rnacentral:SRP_RNA from 1 species